AAGAAAUAUGUCUGACAAAAGAAUUACUUUGAUAGAGUAAGCCAUAGGGGUUUAAGUCCCCUUAUUUCUA
rnacentral:tRNA from 1 species